UAGGGAAUCUUCGGCAAUGGACGAAAGUCUGACCGAGCAACGCCGCGUGAGUGAAGAAGGUUUUCGGAUCGUAAAACUCUGUUGGUAGAGAAGAACGUUGGUGAGAGUGGAAAGCUCAUCAAGUGACGGUAACUACCCAGAAAGGGAC
rnacentral:rRNA from 1 species